rnacentral:rRNA from 1 species
GACGAGCGCUGGCGGCGUGCUUAACACAUGCAAGUCGAACGGAAAGGCCCUGCUUUUGUGGGGUGCUCGAGUGGCGAACGGGUGAGUAACACGUGAGUAACCUGCCCUUGACUUUGGGAUAACUUCAGGAAACUGGGGCUAAUACCGGAUAGGAGCUCCUGCUGCAUGGUGGGGGUUGGAAAGUUUCGGCGGUUGGGGAUGGACUCGCGGCUUAUCAGCUUGUUGGUGGGGUAGUGGCUUACCAAGGCUUUGGCGGGUAGCCGGCCUGAGAGGGUGACCGGCCACAUUGGGACUGAGAUACGGCCCAGACUCCUACGGGAGGCAGCAGUGGGGAAUAUUGCACAAUGGGCGGAAGCCUGAUGCAGCAACGCCGCGUGCGGGAUGACGGCCUUCGGGUUGUAAACCGCUUUCGCCUGUGACGAAGCGUGAGUGACGGUAAUGGGUAAAGAAGCACCGGCUAACUACGUG